UGGGGAAUAUUGGACAAUGGGGGCAACCCUGAUCCAGCAAUGCCGCGUGUGUGAAGAAGGCCUUCGGGUUGUAAAGCACUUUUAUCGGGAACGAAACAUUGUCGGCCAAUACCCGGCAAGACUGACGGUACCCGAGGAAUAAGCACCGGCUAACUCCGUGCCAGCAGCCGCGGUAAUACGGAGGGUGCAAGCGUUAAUCGGAAUUACUGGGCGUAAAGCGUGCGCAGGCGGUUUGUUAAGUCUGCUGUGAAAUCCCCGAGCUCAACUGGGGAAUUGCAGUGGAUACUGGCAAGCUGGAGUACGGUAGAGGAAGGUGGAAUUCCCGGUGUAGCGGUGAAAUGCGUAGAGAUCGGGAGGAACACCAGUGGCGAAGGCGGCCUUCUGGACCAGUACUGACGCUCAUGCACGAAAGCGUGGGGAGCAAACA
rnacentral:rRNA from 1 species